rnacentral:rRNA from 1 species
UGGUGAAUAUUGGACAAUGGGCGCAAGCCUGAUCCAGCAAUGCCGCGUGUGUGAAGAAGGCCUUCGGGUUGUAAAGCACUUUUAUCUGGAGCGAAAUCUGCAGGGCUAAUACCCAUGCAGUCUGACGGUACCAGAGGAAUAAGCACCGGCUAACUUCGUGCCAGCAGCCGCGGUAAUACGAAGGGUGCAAGCGUUAAUCGGAAUUACUGGGCGUAAAGCGUGCGCAGGCGGUUAUGCAAGACGGAUGUGAAAUCCCCGGGCUCAACCUGGGAACUGCAUUUGUGACUGCAUAGCUGGAGUGCGGCAGAGGGGGAUGGAAUUCCGCGUGUAUCGGUGAAAUGCGUAAAGAUCGGGAGGAACACCAGUGGCGAAGGCGGCUACGUGGACCAGCGCUGACACUGAGUCACGAAAGCGUGGGGAGCAAACA